UUUGUGGGUAAAAUGCCCUUAUGAGUGAACCCUACUCACCCCACCCUUUUCCACCCUCCCUCUCUAUAAAGCUGGUAGACAGAUUAUAUGUUGUAGAGUGGUCCUUGAGAGACUUUGUAUGUAAGGGGAUGACCUUUUUUUCCCAGCUCUAACUCUCUCUCUCUCUCUCUCUCUCUCUCUCUCUCUCUCUCUCUCUCUCUCUCUCUCUCUCAUUAGUAUAUAUCUAACUAUACAGGAUAUGUGAGAUCUGAAGUGAAUUUAUAAACAAGUCCUGGUCAUGCUUUUCCACAGCUUUCUUGAACUUCAAUUCUUUGCUGUCUAAGCUUAUCGCUUUCAAGAUUAGCUAGCGCCAUCGAAGCUCAAGAAAGCUGUGGGAGAACAUGGCAAUUCCGGACUCUGAUGAAUUGCUGCUUACAAUGUAAGUGCAGUGCAGCAGACAGCAGACAACACAAGUACUGUGUACAGACCAAUUCUUGUGUUUAGCCGAAGAAUUAUAAGGUCAUCUUCUUCAUCAUGUAUAUUUUCUGGUUUCCCUUCUCCAUAAGUUUUGACAGAAUUCUUUGAAUUUCCCUGAAGACAAACCCAUGAAGAUGAAAUUCAGUGUUCCUUUCUUCUUCUUUUUUACCUAAAACUUUGUUAUAUCUACUGGCACACGUUUGAGCCAUGCAUGGGAAGGGGCUGCAGAAUGGUAAUUUUAAAAUACAUUUUUCUUCUUGUCUUGUCUGGUACAUUUUGAUGAAAUUUCCAUUUAAUUUAAAAUAAUAUUCCUGAUUCAUUCAAUCAGUAUGGUGAAAUUUUGAGUUUGAUCUUCAGAGAAGAUUCCCUAUCUUUCCCUUUCCUUUUUAUCAUAAAUGAUGACACUUGUUCCUGUUAGCCUUUUGAUUUUGCUUCCACAUCUUCUCCUACAUUUCUGUGAAAAAGGUUAAACUUUGUCCCUAUCUGACAUAGGUUUUUUAACCACAUCCUCUCAUUCUUACAUCAGUAAUCAGUUUUAUUUUCUUCUCUCUCUGUCUCUUUCUCACACUCACUUGUAUGAAUUUCCUCCAGGCUAGGGUUGUCAAUGGCAUUUCACCCACACACAACUAUGCUUCCCUUGAUCAAAGACUCAAAUUUAAAAUAACAAAUCUUGAAAAUAAAUUAACUUUUUUUAGUUCAUUUGCAACUAGAUGCAUUGCAUGAAACAUCCAAAAGUUUACCUUUUCAAUGGUUCCAUGCUAGCUAGAAGAAACAGAUCUCAAAUUUGGCCCUAGCUAGCUAGCUCGCUCCAAUUAUAGCUCUUUCUGUAACUAAGUAGUUAGAAUGGACUACUUCUGCAUAUCAAUUAUGAAAUGUGAAAUCGAAUUCUGUAUUAUACAGAUUAUUUUUUUCAAUUAAUUGAAUAAUAUAUAAAUAUAUUUAACUUAUAUCUGAAUAGUUGAGAUCAGACUGAGCGACAUGUGAGUUGUUUGCUUAGAACAGCCUAUACGUACCCUCUCUCCAGUAAGUUGAUCAGCCAGAGCUAGCUAUAGCUUUAACUUUUGUCCUCAACACAUUACAUAUAUAUAUAUAUAUAUAUUUGAAUUGUAAGUUGAAUACGGACAAUUCGGCAACUAUAUGAUAUUUGGAAAAUUGCAAUCACUGGUCAGAUGGAUGCAACAUUAACAGCAUAUUGGCCAAUUUUGUAACAGCCAAAUUAAUAGCAUUAAAGUUAUCUGUCUGCGCAGUGCUCACAAGCUCCAUGCUUCAACUACUUCAUUACUUACAACUUCACAUGUCAAUCUCUCUCUCUCUCUCUCUCUCUCUCUCUCUCUCUGUUUCGUUUAGGCACAGAAUUUGACCAUUAUUAACCUGCACUGCAGAGUAAAAUGGAAGUGUAAUCAAUGUACAACAUGUAGUUUAGCGGGAUUAGCAAGCGACGUUAUACAAGUAAAACGAAUAUUUCUGAUAUAUAAAGGUUUUUAACAACCUCUUGCUAGCUAGGGGCAGGUCCACGAUAAUCAGUUCAGAAUAGGUCAGGCCAGACAAAUUAAGGAGGCAAUGGCAUGCAUGGUUGCAGUCAGUGUAUUUAAAUUUACUAGCUAGGCCUCAUUAAUUUCUUUAUCUAGUUACAGGAAUUGUAGACUCCUAACUUUCAUAUGGUGCUAUUAUUUAAGACGCGUGAUGAGAGAGAGGCAAACAGGUAGAGUUCAUGAAACCGUAAUGAUCAUCGCGAGAGGCGGCAAAGCUAUCUCAUGGAAGUUAACAAGCUGCUAUAAAUACAACUUACAUAAACUAAAAGUAAUUAAAUUAAUAUUUGGGAGAAGUCAGCAGCAUGCAUUUGGUUGAACGGUCAUCGCAAUUAGCAAGUUAAUCUGGUAUAAAAGGGUCAAGAAUUUGUACAAUGAUCCAAAUUCCAGCACUCAUAAGGCAUCAGCCAAAGAAAACACAUGCCAAAAUAUUAGAAAAAGAAGAUGAAUUGACUUUGCUAAAAGAUGCAUGGGUCAUGACCCUCCUCUCCGUGAUACAAGACCAUGUUUAGCAUCUGAAGAGUCAUGUUAUUUGAGUUCUGACGACCCCAACAUAAAACCACAGGUAAAAUCCUCAAAAAUCACUUGCAUCGUAAAUUUCUCCAUUGGUUCAAUGAAUUAUUCGGGAAAUCUUUUGGUUAUAUGCAGCCAAGCCAUCGAUGAGUUAACAAUAAACAAAGAUCCUCUUCGAGGAAAGGAACUUUCGGAAUUUAUGGAUCCAUUCCCAUUAACAAACAACGCAAAAACGUGAAGUGGGCCACUCGAUUCAUUUGCUAAGGUCCCGCAACAAGAUCAAGGAACCAUGUGUGUAAUUCAAAAGAAAACAGAUUGGGGAGAACAAAGAAUACUCUACCAAAAUAAAAAGAAAUAAAGAACACCACCAAUUGGAAGCAAAAAGUGCUUAUGACUCUUCUGGCAGCUCAACGUGAAAGAAAAGGGUGUGAAACAAACACACACGUCUGGAAACCAAACCAUGACCAAAUGAAAGAGAAAAAUGGCACGGAGAAGCAAUAAUUCUGUCACCAUGUGUUGUGGAAAGCAAUGAAACACUCACGUCACUGCAAUGUGAUAACUUUUGAUCAACCAAUCAAGCAAUAACUAUAUAUUAAAUAUGAUGAAAUGAAAUAAACUUGAAACGAUUGUCCUUUCAUCCAUUAUAGGUACUACUUAAGGUAGACGUACCAACUCAUGAUGAUGAUGAUGAUGAUCUCAUUUCUAGCUUCACCAAUCUACCGUGAAUCAUGGCAUUCAAAGUAGUUAAGCUAAAGGUAAUAAUAAUUCAACCAAACACAUAACCGCAAAGAAAAUCCAAAUUUAUAAGAUCUGUCAUAUUGCGAAUAUGGGUUACAUACAGCAAAUGAAAGAUGAGCAACUAUAAUACAUUUUAGAUUAGUGGGCGACAUUAGGACCUGUAUACAUGUUGGAUCAUAUGACCUGUGGAGAUGGCUCAUUAAUUUAGGGUGACAAAAGGGGUUGGUCCUAUUAAUUGGAUGUAUUCAAAUCCCCGUGAGAGCAGCAUCUGCAAAUCCAUCCGAAUUCUUGUGUGGAGAUGACACAGCCAUGAAUACUCUUGCUUUGGCUCUUAGUUAGGACCUUGCCAGUGAAAAAUGUGGAUGCCCUUUUUCACACUUGGUAGAUCCUUAGCAUAUUUGGGAAAACAUAACCCUAAUUUUCUUCAGGCAAAGCAACACGACAUCUCUUGGUUAAAUCAUCUUGCUUUAUGCAUUUUGUUCCUUAUUUGAUACAUAUAUAAAAGCUUCACCUAACCCAUAAGAUUUCAAAUAAUUGCUCCAAAGCUAGCAAGUAAGAGUGAGAGCUCGAUAUGAGAAAAGGAAAGGCAACAACACAAAACCUUGUGGUCCAUGCAGAACAAACCUUACCUUACCAUGUGUUUUGGGUUUCAUAGCUCUCAAUACUUGUGUAAAAGGAAAAACCAAUAAGAGAAAGCCUAGCUAUAUCAACUGAACGUACCUUAUUACACUCAACAAGUGAAAUAAUGGUAUGUAGCAAGAGACGGCAUGGCAGAUGAGAAACGGAUGCAAAGUAAUGAGGCUGCAAUGACUUAGUGAAAGUCACUCACGAAUGAGGCAGAUAUGAUAAAACGAUGUUUGACCCUAAUUGAAUCUCAGAAAUCUCAUGUAUAUAAAAAUGACUCGACUAUCUGAACGAUCUGUCACGUUAUCGAACGACACUAGUGUAUAGAUGUACAGAUCGAUAGGCACAUUGUAUCAUAUUUAGGAUGUUAAGAGUUUAAUCAGCUCUUAUGUUUUGAUGCAAAUUUAAGAAAAUAUAAACAUUCAUGUGCGCACACUGUAAAGAAUGCCUAAUUAAAUGAAGAACAUUAUCAUUAUAAACAAAAUAAUGAAAAGACAAGAAUCUAAUCUCUGCUGGCAUUAAUAAACAAUGUCAAACGUUAAAUACUGCUGAAUGAAUCAUAAAGUACAGAUGGAUCAGAGAGAACUACUUAUCCAGAAUGUUCUCUGAAGCAUCGAUCAGAAGGAGGGUGAAGAUUUCUCCCCAGAGGAACUGCAUGUGGAUGCAUUGUCACCGCUGAUACAACUCACAGAAAAAAAAAAUAUCAUCAAGUGCUACAAUAAUCUCACUAAUAAAAAUAUUUAAUUUGUAAUAUUGUAUUAUUAUAUAUGGAUCAUCACAUACAGAUCAGAUAGAGAAAUCAGAUCUCCAUGUAAUCCGAAACGCAAAGCUUGUAAAAGCCCCUUAUGAAGUAUUAGGGUUGAGAUAAUUUUUCAUUAUGGCAUGGUUUAGAAAAACACCCAUCAUCCACCACCUACUUCAAAAUCAUGAAAGACUGAAUUUUUAUGGGUACUGAGAAACAAAUCAAGUGACAAUUGUGCAAAGUGAGACAAAAUUUGAGUGAUUUAAAAUGUCUUUGUAAAUUGUAAGUUUAGGCUUCAUACCAAGAUAUAAAUAUAUAUAUGUGUGAUGCUGAAGAUCGGAUAGUGAUUUUUUAUUGAACCUAUCUGUAUCUUCCCACAGCUUUAUUGAACCGCAAGCCAGUUAGAGAGAGAGAGAGAGUGAGUGAGUGAGUGACUGCAGCCUCACAUGCAAAGAUCGAUCGAUCUCAUGGAUGCAGUUCAAGAAAGCUGUGGAAGAAUACAAAGAGGAUCAUCGUCUAUGGAGGAAAUGGAGAGAGAGGGAGAGAGAGAGAGAGAAAGAGAGAGUCACCAAAGCCACACCACACAUAGAGAGAUAAGAUGCUUAGAAGCUUCAACCAAUCAGAGCUCUAAUCUGAGAUGAGGCAGAAUUGUCAAAAAGCAGAGAUAACAACAAAAACAAAAAAAAAA